GAUGAAGAACGUAGCGAAAUGCGAUAAGUAAUGUGAAUUGCAGAAUUCAGUGAAUCAUCGAAUCUUUGAACGCACAUUGCGCCCGCCAGUAUUCUGGCGGGCAUGCCUGUUCGAGCGUCAUUACAACCCUCAGGCCCCCGGGCCUGGCGUUGGGGAUCGGCGGAGCCCCCCGUGGGCACACGCCGUCCCCCAAAUGCAGUGGCGGUCCCGCCGCAGCUUCCAUCGCGUAGUAGCUAACACCUCGCGACUGGAGAGCGGCGCGACCACGCCGUAAAACACCCAACUCUUCUGAAGUUGACCUCGAAUCAGGUAGGAAUACCCGCUGAACUUAAGCAUAUCAUAAGCGGAGGA
rnacentral:misc_RNA from 1 species